rnacentral:rRNA from 1 species
UACAGAGGUGGCAAGCGUUGUUCGGAUUUACUGGGCGUAAAGGGCGUGUAGGCGGCCACCGCAAGUCGGUUGUGAAAUCUCCGGGCUUAACCCGGAAAGGUCAACCGAUACUGCGGGGCUAGAGUGCAGAAGGGGCAACUGGAAUUCUCGGUGUAGCGGUGAAAUGCGUAGAUAUCGAGAGGAACACCUGCGGCGAAGGCGGGUUGCUGGGCUGACACUGACGCUGAAACGCGAAAGCUAGGGGAGCGAACGGG